rnacentral:rRNA from 1 species
AUUGAACGCUGGCGGCAGGCCUAACACAUGCAAGUCGAACGAGUGGCGGACGGGUGAGUAAUGUCUGGGAAACUGCCCGAUGGAGGGGGAUAACUACUGGAAACGGUAGCUAAUACCGCAUACUAUCGGAUGUGCCCAGAUGGGAUUAGCUUGUAGGUGAGGUAACGGCUCACCUAGGCGACGAUCCGUAUCUGGUCUGAGAGGAUGAUCAGUCACACUGGAACUGAGACACGGUCCAGACUCCGACGGGAGGCAGCAGUGGGGAAUAUUGGACAAUGGGCGAAAGCCUGAUCCAGCCAUGCCGCGUGUGUGAAGAAGGCCUUCGGAUUGUAAAGCACUUUCAGUUGGGAGGCGUUACCAACAGAAGAAGCACCGGCUAACUCCGUGCCAGCAGCCGCGGUAAUAC